GACGCAUUAGUCAAGUGGUUAAGACACCGCCUUUUCACGGCGGAGACGUGAGUUCGAUUCUCUCAUGCGUCA
rnacentral:tRNA from 1 species